rnacentral:rRNA from 1 species
GUGGGGAAUCUUGCACAAUGGGCGAAAGCCUGAUGCAGCAACGCCGCGUGAGCGAAGAAGGCCUUUGGGUCGUAAAGCUCUGUCCUAAGGGAAGAAGAAAGUGACGGUACCUUAGGAGGAAGCCCCGGCUAACUACGUGCCAGCAGCCGCGGUAAUACGUAGGGGGCAAGCGUUAUCCGGAAUUAUUGGGCGUAAAGAGUACGUAGGCGGUUCUUUAAGCGCAGGGUUUAAGGCUAUAGCUUAACUAUAGUUCGCCCUGUGAACUGGAGGACUUGAGUAUCGGAGAGGAAAGCGGAAUUCCUAGUGUAGCGGUGAAAUGCGUAGAUAUUAGGAGGAACACCAGUGGCGAAGGCGGCUUUCUGGACGAAAACUGACGCUGAGGUACGAAAGCGUGGGGAGCAAACAGG